ACAGUGGUGGUUCAGAGGUAGAAUUUUCACCUCCCAUUCAGGAGGCCUGGGUUUGAUUCCCAGCCAAUGCA
rnacentral:tRNA from 1 species